GAUGAACGCUGGCGGCGUGCCUAAUACAUGCAAGUCGAGCGAAUGGAUUAAGAGCUUGCUCUUAUGAAGUUAGCGGCGGACGGGUGAGUAACACGUGGGUAACCUGCCCAUAAGACUGGGAUAACUCCGGGAAACCGGGGCUAAUACCGGAUAACAUUUUGAACCGCAUGGUUCGAAAUUGAAAGGCGUCUUCGGCUGUCACUUAUGGAUGGACCCGAGUCGAUUUAGCUAGUUGGUGAGGUAACGGCUCACAAAGGCAACGAUGCGUAGCCGAACUGGGAGGGUGAUCGGCCACACUGGGACUGAGACACGGCCCAGACUCCUACGGGAGGCAGAAGUAGGGAAUCUUCCGCAAUGGACGAAAGUCUGACGGAGCAACGCCGCGUGAGUGAUGAAGGCUUUCGGGUCGUAAAACUCUGUUGUUAGGGAAGAACAAGUGCUAGUUGAAUAAGCUGGCACCUUGACGGUACCUAACCAGAAAGCCACGGCUAACUACGUGCCAGCCGCCGCAGUAA
rnacentral:rRNA from 1 species